rnacentral:lncRNA from 1 species
UCUCCAGAUUACAGUGUACACAGGCUAUGUGUCAGAGGUUGAGUUAAUGGAUCCAGUGGGCUGGCUAGCUGGGGCGGACUUCCUGGAGGAGCACAGGAAUGUUGGUGUCACCAUAUCCAGACUUUACCUGAGCCUGCAGAGGAGUGAUUGAGUGCAGGCUCCAAGAGCGCUCCUUUGUUCUGCUUAAGCUUGUGCGUCAUAUGGCUCCUGGCCAGCCUCCCUGCUAGAUCUCUUCCAGGUGGAGAGAGAGCGAGGGCCUUUACCUAUGGCACAGAAGGCCAUGUGAAGGUCAUCAUCCCGUGUUGGUGGCAGACUGAGACCUCUGGUUAUAGGGGGGCAGACACCCACUGUUGAAGUUGCUCUUAUUCCCUCUCAUCUAUGUGACUAAAGCGUGA